rnacentral:rRNA from 1 species
AGCAGCCGCGGUAAUUCCAGCUCCAAUAGCGUAUAUUAAAGUUGUUGCAGUUAAAAAGCUCGUAGUUGAAUUUCAGGCCUGGCUGGACGGUCCGCCCUUCGGGUGAGUACUGUCUGUGGUCGGGUCCUACCUUCUGGCGAAGCGUCAUGGCCUUAACCGGCCGUGGCGGGGAACCAGGACUUUUACUGUGAAAAAAUUAGAGUGUUCAAAGCAGGCAAUCGCUUGGAUACAUUAGCAUGGAAUAAUGGAAUAGGACAAUGGUUCUAUUUGUUGGUUUCUAGGACCGUUGUAAUGAUUAAUAGGGAUAGUUGGGGGCAUUAGUAUUCAAUUGUCAGAGGUGAAAUUCUUGGAUUUAUUGAAGACUAACUACUGCGAAAGCAUUUGCCAAGGAUGUUUUCAUUAAUCAAGAACGAAAGUUAGGGGAUCGAAGACGAUCAGAUACCGUCGUAGUCUUAACCAUAAACUAUGCCGACUAGGAAUCGGGCGAUGUUGAAAAAAUGACGC